GAGUGAAUUCACCGGCGGACUCAUAAUCCGUUGGUCGAUGGUUCAAGCCCAUCACGGCCUACCA
rnacentral:tRNA from 1 species